GUUCUUCCUGUGGCUCAGCUUCAUGUCUAGCACACAGCUCGUCUGUCACCAUUUCACCCCUCCUUUUGCAAGAGCUGAGUCAGAAAGGAGCAGCUGUGGAUAGCAGAGGUCUGUCUGGCUCUACUGAAUGGGAGAGCAGGUCCUGGAUGGUGAGGUACCUGCCCUGACGAUGUAUACAGUACAGGCAAAUGCUUUUCCUAGUCCAGAGCAUCCAGCUCUGGGAUCUGCAGCAUAAGAAGGAUCUAGAUCUGCUGAAAAAAGUCCAGAGGAAGGCCAUGAAGAGGAUUAGAGGCAUGGAGCACAUCUCCUCUGAGGCUGUGAGAGCUGGGGCUGUUCAGUAUGGAGAAGAGAAGGCUCAGGGGACCUUAUGGCACCUUUCAGUACCUAAAUGGGGACCAACAAGAAAGCAGGGAAAAGACUUUUUACUAGAGUGUGUGUAGGAUAAAGGGGAAUGGAUUUAAACUGAAUGAGGGCAGAAUCAGAUUGGAUAUAAGAAAUCCCUUACAAUGAAGGGUGAUAAAAAACAGGAACAGGUUGUCUGGAGAGGUGGCUGAUGUCUCAUCCCUGUACGCAUUCAAGACCACAUUGGAUGGGGCUGUGAGCAACCUGGUCUAGGUGGAAGUAUCUCUGCACUUGGCAGGGAGUUUGGACUAGAUGACCUUUAAAAGUCCCUUCCAACUGAAGCCAUCUAUGAUUCUCUGUAUUUGUGGUGAUAGAUAAGUAUUUUCUCCAUCUGACAAUACUAAGGAGCUAGAAUUCCUGCUGCUCAUUAGUUCUCUGUGUCCUCAGACCUGAAGCUGUGAUUCUUCAAGGGCAUUUCACCUCCAUUUUCCCUGUAAGAGAUCCUUUAAUGAAAAAUAUCUGAGGCAUAAUUCAGCAUUGUGCAACCCAUGAAAGCAUCAGCAUGCCUAUGAUUCAGUGUAAGCCCUGUGAGAAGAGGCUUGAGUCCUCCAUAAACUCUGGUGUGCUGCCAGCCUCCCACUUCUGUCUCAGACAAGAAUAUAAGAACUCUAUAAAGCUAGGAAAGCACUUUGGGGAAUAAGUAACAAGAAUUUACCAGUGCCCUCCUGGAGAAGUAAAAAGCGUAGUGUGGAUUCACCUGGCAUGCUCACUCAGCUGCACACAACCACCUGAUAUCACAUACUUUGUAUAUCUGAAACUGUGACCCCUCCAUGAGUGU